rnacentral:rRNA from 1 species
GAUCAUGGCUCAGGGUGAACGCUGGCGGCGUGCUGACACAUGCAAGUCGAACGGUAUGUGGCAACACAUAGAGUGGCGAACGGGUGAGUAACACGUGGGAACGUACCAUCUGCAGGGGGAUAACUGACCGAAAGGACAGCUAAUACCGCAUAAGUCCGGAAGGAGAAAGGUGCAAUAGCAUCGGCAGAAGAGCGGCCCGCGGUCCAUCAGCUAGUUGGUGAGGUAAGGGCUUACCAAGGCGACGACGGAUAGCCGGCGUGAGAGCGUGGCCGGCCACAAGGACACUGAGAUACGGGUCCUACUCCUACGGGAGGCAGCAGUGCGGAAUUUUAGAUAAUGGAGGGAACUCUGAUCUAGCGACGCCGCGUGCAAGGAAGAAGGUCUUCGGAUUGUAAACUGCUGUGGUAAGGGAAAAAUGCUAUGUAGAGUGGAAAGCUACAUAGAGGGAUGGUACCUAACUAGAAAGCCCCGGCUAACUACGUGCCAGCCGCGGC